rnacentral:snRNA from 1 species
GUCAUUUUGGCAAGCCAUAUACUGAAACUAGAAUGAUAUGGAAGAUUAACUCAGUCCCCACAUAAGGAUGACAUCAAAUUUGUGAAGUGUUCCAGAUUUUU